CCCAGGAGGAUUGGCUGGCAGCGAGUCCAGCCGCAGUGGUGGGCCAGGCGGUGGGCCCAGCCGUGGAGGCCAGGCAGCGGAGGCCAGAAUUGGAAAUGGAUGACUUAAUAAUUCUGGUCGACAACAAGGGCUGGGAAGAUGUGAGCGUCACAGUUAGUGCCAGACCACUGUUCAAGCUGCUGGAUGGCAACGUGAUUUUCUUCUGGAUCAAAUGGUUUCUGUCUGCAUUCGGCACAGAUGUUGGCCCAAAGCAGAGCAAGCCGGUAAACAAAGUGACCAACUGGAAUGUCAUCACCUACAAACUCGGAAGCAAUGGGUGGAAGCUUUAUAACAUCACUGUAGUGAGAAAGUCAGAUGGCAGAAUUGCUACGUGUUUAACUCCGCUGCGUUGUACUUGGAUAAUUGAAGACCAGGGAAUCUAUCAAGAAGAUCACCGUGAAAACCACUGCAAAUUUAAACCAUCUCCUCCUCAGUUAGUCUAAGUUUUUGCAUAUGCUAAUAUAUGAAAGAAUUAGCUGUUUCUUAUUCUGACGAAUGAAAUGUUCUGUCUUUUGCGAAUAUGAAAGCUUAAUCUCAACAGAAAUCAAUAGCUCAAUCUCAACAGAAAUCAAUAGCUCAAUCUCAACAGAAAUCAAUAGCUUAAUCUCAACAGAAAUCCCUUUCCUGCUUUGUGUAUUUUAUUCUUGAGAACAAGUGCAACAAUAAUUGCCUUUAUUAAACUGCUUAGCCACA